rnacentral:tRNA from 1 species
UACUAGUAAUCUAUAUGAUAUAGGUCUAUAUUUCGGCUGUAGUCUAAGAGAUUUAUAUUCUCUACUAGUGA